AAGUCGGUUGUGAAAGCCUUCCGCUCAACGGAAGAACGGCAUCCGAUACUGCAUGGCUUGAGUGUGGGAGGGGAGAGUGGAACUUCUGGUGGAGCGGUGAAAUGCGUAGAUAUCAGAAGGAACACCGGCGGCGAAGGCGACUCUCUGGUCCAUAACUGACGCUGAGUGUACGAAAGCUAGGGGAGCAAACGGGAUUAGAUACCCCGGUAGUCCUAGCCGUAAACGAU
rnacentral:rRNA from 1 species